rnacentral:rRNA from 1 species
GACGAACGCUGGCGGCGCGCUUAACACAUGCAAGUCGAGCGAGAACCGGCCCUUCGGGGCCGGGGAAAGCGGCGAACGGGUGAGUAACACGUGGGUAAUCUGCCCUCGGCACCGGGAUAGCCCGGGGAAACCCGGAUUAAUACCGGAUGGCCUGCGGAGUCUUCGGGCUCUGCAGAAAAGGUAGCUUCGGCCGCUGGCCGAGGACGAGCUCGCGGCGGAUUAGCUUGUUGGCGGGGUAACGGCCCACCAAGGCGACGAUCCGUAGCUGGUCUGAGAGGACGAUCAGCCACACUGGGACUGAGACACGGCCCAGACUCCUACGGGAGGCAGCAGUGGGGAAUCUUGCGCAAUGGGCGAAAGCCUGACGCAGCGACGCCGCGUGCGGGACGAAGGCCCUUGGGUCGUAAACCGCUUUCAGGAGGGACGAAGCCACUCGGGUGAACAGCCCAGAGGGUGACGGUACCUCCAGAAGAAGCCCCGGCUAACUACGUGCCAGCCGCCGCCGUAAGAC